CAAACAGGGGCAGCAGCAGAGACACAGAUAAAUAGAUGAGGAUCCGAGCGGGGGAGUUACCAUGAUGACGGCCUGCUGGUUCACAAUCGCCUGCUGCUGCUGGGCCAAAACAGCCUGCUGGUCUUCUGGAGGUGUUGCAGGUGCUACAGCAGCAACAGGAGGCGACAUCACACCUCCCACAGGAAGGACUCUCACAGCUGCGGACACAAGCACAUACAAGCAGCCAACUUCUGUCAGAUUUGAUACCUCCAGGAGGUGGGUGGAUGGAGGACUGCCCCUGCUGUUGCCACUUCCCACCAACUCCCCCGGCUCCCUUCAUCCUGCCCGACAGUCCUGCCACUGAUUCUACUUCCUGAGAGAAGAGACAGGCUUUAAAUGUACGAAAAUUAAAGCUUAAAUAUGCACUUUUUCCCAUCUUUUAUCAUAUGUUUUUAUCACCUCACGUUUAUGGCAUCUCUGUUGUUUAAGUUUUAUUUUUAUAGCUAUAUUUGUGUUUAAGGAGCUCUGACUGUAUGCAAGGAAAGAGGUACUGCCAAAAAGACUCUUUAAUUUUAAAUCCUUUCUAUCGUCACCUUUUUCACCAUUGCAAUAAAUAUAAAAAAAUGUCGUGAUAAAAUUUUAGGUCCAUGUCACUCAUCCCACAUGGGUCCACAACCACAGGCGGGUUGAGGACCCAUGUUUAUUUCUACAUCCUGCGCAAUGUGGGGGUUGUUAAGGGAGGUAAAAAAAAUAUCCAAAGUUAGCUGUUAGAGAACUUCAUCACCUCUCCAUAACAACCAUUAGACACUGUUUAUGUGAAAACCUGAGGGGUGAGCUGCAGAGAGAAUAAGACUGGACUCCAAACAAGCUAGAGCGAUUGUCCAGAGAGGAAGACUAAAGAUCCCUUUCUCUAUAUGCUCCAACCUUGUGAAAUGGUAUUGGAAAAAACUAAGUGCUGUCCUACUGGCAAAAGCAUGCUGUACAAAGUAUUGACAGCAGGGAUGACAGUAAGUGUGCUGCCAGUGAUUUUAUUAAAAAUGAUCAUUGCCAGGGUUCCCACACAUUUAUAAUGAAAAAUGUCUAUAACAUCAUAAAGGACACUUCUCACCCAGGUCACGCUCUGUUUGAUCUGUCACCGUCACGCAGACGCUACAGAUUAAUUAAAGCAAGGACGGGCAGAUUCAACAGCAGUUUUUGUCCAACAGCAAUAGCUAAAUUCAAUACAGCCAGAAUGUAAAGAGGAGAUGCAAUAAUUGGAAAAUGCAAUCAGUAUGAAUGGGUGUACAUGCGUUUUGUUUCCUAUGUUUUUAUUUUAUCUUUUAAAAAUUGCUUAUAUUUGUCUAUUUUACAUAAAUUAUGUAUCGCUCAUGAACAGAUAGCCUUUUUCCUGAAUUUCUUUGUAUUUGUGACACAAACAAUAAAAGAUAUUCUGAUUCUGA